rnacentral:rRNA from 1 species
UACGUAGGGGGCAAGCGUUGUCCGGAUUUAUUGGGCGUAAAGAGCGUGUAGGCGGUUUGGUAGGUCCGCUGUGAAAACUCGAGGCUCAACCUCGGACUUGCAGUGGGUACGGGCAGACUAGAGUGUGGUAGGGGAGACUGGAAUUCCUGGUGUAGCGGUGGAAUGCGCAGAUAUCAGGAGGAACACCGAUGGCGAAGGCAGGUCUCUGGGCCAUUACUGACACUGAGAAGCGAAAGCAUGGGGAGCGAACAGG